UCCUUGUCUUUUCUUUCUUGUAGACUGGGA
rnacentral:piRNA from 1 species